rnacentral:lncRNA from 1 species
CUGCUUAGCUUCCAAGGUCAGAUGAGACACAUACAGGUGGUACGGCUGUAGGUACAACAUCCAGUUUCUGAAAAAUGCUUUCUCUGGUUUAUACUACCUACUUUUUGGUCUCUUUACUUAAUGUUAAGUAAUAUAGCUUGACAAGUUACGUUGUUUGAAUGUGUUGCUAUGCUUGUGUCUUGAAUUUCCAUCUCAAUGUGAGUAUGAGUUAAGAUUUCAGUAGUGUUUACAAGGUUAAUUAAGUAAACAGUUAACUUCACACAUUUUCAUUUUGCCAAACAUGAAGAUUAUCACUUCAGAAUUUUAUUUGGUUAUUGUUAUAAUGAAAAAAGCACAAUGUAAGAAAUAUUUUUAGUCUUUGUAAAAGACUUACUCUUAGUAAGAAACCUUUUAGUCUUUGUAAAAGACUUGAAAUACCUGUGGUUUAAAAAUUGAGUGUACACCAACCCUUCAGAAAUUUACAGUGUAAGUGAUAGAAUCCCAGAAUACAUUUUACACUUUUGAUUUUUCCUUCCAAUUAACUACUUUCCAUUAACUGUGUUAUCAAUAGUAAAGUUGGGGAUACUGAAAGGUGACUGUUUGAGUAAUAAUUUGUGUUCUUUGUACAGUGUUUGUCUGUUGGAGACCUCAGAGAUAGGCAGUCUGUACCUGUGAAUAGCUGCCUGUCAUCUUCUGAUGUUUUGAAACUUUUAAAUAUAUAAUUUAAUUGAUUCAUUUGACUCUUCUGUACUUAUUUGAAGAAUUUGAUUUGUCUUAAGUAUAGAUUUAGACAAAAACUCAAAAGACCAUAAGAGAGAGGCUGGUUAAGAAUACUGGCUCCUCUUCUAGAGGUUUAUACAGGUUCAGUUCUCAACACUACAUGGUGACUCACAGCCAUCUGUGUCGUCCUCUUCUGGAUUCCAAGAGCUCUGUACACAUGUGGUACACAGAUACAUUCUAGAAAUACUCACAAAUAUAAGUAAUGAAAAUCUUGUUUAAAAUUUUCUUUUAAGGAUAUAAGAGAAGCUAGCACUCCACCCACAAAUUAAAAACCCUAUAGUUUGUGAGUUAAUGAAAUAAGACUCAUCUAUUUAAGGAGAAGUAGAUGUUCUAAUGUAAAACUUUGUUUCACGAGAAUUACAAGUAACUCCAUUCUUCUGUAUCAUUUGUUUACAUUUUGUAUUAAAACUUGAUUUAUGUUUCUCUUUCUGCCUCCUCAAAGUUGCAGUUCUUCAUUAUUAGCAUUUUAACUUAAGCAUUUAAUAUUUUUUAAACUAUUUCUCAUUGCCUUCAUUACAAAUAGUUUGACAAAGGUAACAUGGAAUGAAAAAA